rnacentral:rRNA from 1 species
AACGAACGCUGGCGGCAGGCUUAACACAUGCAAGUCGAACGCAUCCUUCGGGGUGAGUGGCAGACGGGUGAGUAACGCGUGGGAACGUGCCCUUCAGUUCGGGAUAACCCAGGGAAACUUGGGCUAAUACCGGAUACGUGCGAGAGCAGAAAGAUUUAUCGCUGAAGGAUCGGCCCGCGUCUGAUUAGCUAGUUGGUGGGGUAACGGCCCACCAAGGCGACGAUCAGUAGCUGGUCUGAGAGGAUGAUCAGCCACAUUGGGAAUGAGAAACGGCCCAAACUCCUACGGGAGGCAGCAGUGGGGAAUAUUGGACAAUGGGCGCAAGCCUGAUCCAGCCAUGCCGCGUGAGUGAUGAAGGCCUUAGGGUUGUAAAGCUCUUUCGUCCGGGACGAUAAUGACGGUACCGGAAGAAGAAGCCCCGGCUAACUUCGUGCCAGCCGCCGCUGUAA